GAAAAAGAAAGCUGAGUGAGGAUAGUAAGAGUUAGAGAGUGAGGAAGAGAUAUUUUAGGAAGCGUGGCCAAAAAGGCUCCUCUGAGGAGAUGACAUUUGAAAACACAGCUGAAUGAAGUGAGGCAGAGAAGCCAUGUGCGGCCGUGGGAGAAAGCCCGCAGCAGAGGAAGGAGCCAGCCACAGGCCCUAUGACCGGAAUGCGCUUGGCAGGACGGAGAACAAGGAGGCCAGUGUUGUUGGAUCAGAGUGAGGGAAGGGGAGAGUAUGAAGACAUGAAACGGGAGGAGUGACCAGGUCCGGAUCACGGAAGGCCUACGCGCCUGGCAAGGGACUUUGGAUUUUAUUCUGAGUGACGAGAGGCCGUUGGAAGGUUGAGAGCAGGAAGUGGUAUGAUUUGAUUUACAGUUUAGAAGGCAGACUCUGGCUGUUCUGUGGAGGGGGGAGAGGAGGAGAGUCAGGGUGGAAGCAGGGAUUCCUGUUAAAAUGCUACCGCAGUGUCCAGGCAAGCAAUGUAGGUGGCACGGACUAGGGUGGCCGUGGUCAUGGCGCACAGUGUUUUGGAGUCGGGAUUGACAGAUUUUGUAGCUUGAACCUGGAGAGGAUUUGUUGAUGGAUUGCAUGUAGAGCAAGAGGAAGAAGAGUCAACAAUGUGUGUAAUAUUAAAAAAAAGUUAGGAUACACAAUUCGGACACACAAUUCUAUAGAUAGUAUGGUCAAAACAGUCUUAGAUUACUUUUUUUUUUUUAAAUAAUGAGAAACAUAAGUAUAGCAAAAGAAGAAAUCCAGUUGAGGAGACAGAAUAUUUUCUUAGAUGGAUGGAUAAGACCAUAAAAAAAAGCAGAUGCUAAUUGCACAUAGUACAAAUGGCCACAGGAGGUUGGGGAGUUGACUCAAAUCCCAUUCGCCAGAAAUUACAGCAGAGAAAGGAGAAAAUAAGCUAUUGAGAAAAGAGGAGCUAUUAGUAAUCUCUACUUGGACACAAUUGGAGGUCUUUUGGGUUAAUCUCACAGCCACUGACAGCCCAGAAGCUUGGACCUCAUCCAGUGAUUCUGUCACACGAUCAUGACUCCCUCUGCUGGCAGAACCUGGUUUUGCAGUGUAAACUCAAAUCCUGAAUUACCUGCUUUGGAAAAUUUGCCGGCUCGGGGAUGACUAAAGAGCUAACUGUGUCUUCUUGGUAUAAUCUCAACCUGACUGUUACUGGGACCAUACUGGAAGAAGAUGCUGGUAUGGGAAUCCCCUGGGAGAGCAGAACUUUCAUUGUUGAAGAAAAUGCAGCAAAGGGAGCUUCUUCCUCUCACCAAGCCAACAGUGGAUGGCCCUGGCCCCUUAUGAGACUGUCAUUCAAAUCAGGACUGCAAAGCAACUGUUCUGCCAUUUCCAUGGCAAGCUCUCCCCGGCAGAGGGGAAAGACCACCAGGGUUGCAGGUUUGGCGUCUGAAGACAGACUAUGCCACUUAAUGGCUGGGUUUCCCUCUCUAGUCACUUAAUCAGCCUGAAGCUUGGAGUCCUCCUUACAAUAUGGGGAUAUUAAUAUUUUCCCCUUUCUUGGGGUUGAUGUGCGGAUCAAGUGAGUAAUAUAUGUGAUAAUACUGUAUUAACUGUAAAUCAUUCUACAAAUGUAAGGGUUUAUUACUGUCA
ensembl:lncRNA